rnacentral:rRNA from 1 species
GACAUAGGUGGCGAGCGUUAUCCGGAAUUACUGGGCGUAAAGCGCACGUAGGCGGAUCGAUCAGUCAGGGGUGAAAUCCCAGAGCUCAACUCUGGAACUGCCUUUGAUACUGUCGAUCUGGAGUAUGGAAGAGGUGAGUGGAAUUCCGAGUGUAGAGGUGAAAUUCGUAGAUAUUCGGAGGAACACCAGUGGCGAAGGCGGCUCACUGGUCCAUUACUGACGCUGAGGUGCGAAAGCGUGGGGAGCAAACAGG